GACGUAGGGUGCAAGCGUUGUCCGGAUUUAUUGGGCGUAAAGAGCUCGUAGGCGGCUCGUCGCGUCGACUGUGAAAACUCGGGGCUUAACCCUGGGCCUGCAGUCGAUACGGGCGGGCUAGAGUUCGGUAGGGGAGACUGGAAUUCCUGGUGUAGCGGUGAAAUGCGCAGAUAUCAGGAGGAACACCGGUGGCGAAGGCGGGUCUCUGGGCCGAUACUGACGCUGAGGAGCGAAAGCGUGGGGAGCGAACAGG
rnacentral:rRNA from 1 species